rnacentral:rRNA from 1 species
UAGGGAAUCUUCCGCAAUGGACGCAAGUCUGACGGAGCAACGCCGCGUGAGUGAAGAAGGAUUUCGGUUCGUAAAACUCUGUUGUUAGAGAAGAACAGCGCAUAGAGUAACUGUUAUGCGUGUGACGGUAUCUAACCAGAAAGCCACGGCUAACUACGUGCCAGCAGCCGCGGUAAUACGUAGGUGGCAAGCGUUGUCCGGAUUUAUUGGGCGUAAAGCGAGCGCAGGCGGUCAAUUAAGUCUGAUGUGAAAGCCCCCGGCUCAACCGGGGAGGGUCAUUGGAAACUGGUUGACUUGAGUGCAGAAGAGGAGAGUGGAUUUCCAUGUGUAGCGGUGAAAUGCGUAGAUAUAUGGAGGAACACCAGUGGCGAAGGCGACUCUCUGGUCUGUAACUGACGCUGAGGCUCGAAAGCGUGGGUAGCAAACAGG